GAGCUGCAGGUUGCUCUGCUGGGAGGUCUGGGAGGUCUGGGAGGAGAGCCGAAGGGCCUGAUAAAGGAGACAUACCUCCAGACACACAUUAGCAGCCACAGGUCAGCUAGCCAGGUGGUCUGCUCCACCUCGUCCACUGAGCUGGAGGCAGCCUGAGGGUGAAGCCGUGCACGGAGGAAGCACGGCAGCAGAUGGUGGAGUAAUUAAUGCAGCUAUUUUAAUAGCCCCAUGAAGUUCAUGUCAGGAUGGUACCAGCUGUAAAAUGACUCCAAUAUUUCUAUAAAACAUUUCUUUCUGCUGAAGUCAUUCAUCUGACUUGUCUCCGCCAAGGAAUGGUGGAGUUUUGUGACCAUCGGCGUUGGUCUGUCUGUCUGUCUGUCUGUCUGUUACCAACAUUACUAUAAAACAGACCAACGGAUUUGGAUGAAAUUUUCAGUGAAGGUCAGCCUCCCGGGACUCCUACUCUGGACUGACUCAUGCUGGAUGAAGGUUUGGCGUCAUGGUGGGAGGAAGUGAA
ensembl:lncRNA